rnacentral:rRNA from 1 species
UACGUAGGGUGCGAGCGUUAAUCGGAAUUACUGGGCGUAAAGGGCUCGUAGGUGGCCAACUAAGUCAGACGUGAAAUCCCUCGGCUUAACCGGGGAACUGCGUCUGAUACUGGAUGGCUUGAGUUCGGGAGAGGGAUGCGGAAUUCCAGGUGUAGCGGUGAAAUGCGUAGAUAUCUGGAGGAAUACCGGUGGCGAAGGCGGCAUCCUGGACCGGCAUUGACGCUGAGGAGCGAAAGCCAGGGGAGCAAAGCGGGAU